GGCCAGACUCCUACGGGAGGCAGCAGUGAGGAAUAUUGGUCAAUGGUCGGGAGACUGAACCAGCCAAGCCGCGUGAGGGAGGAAGGUACAGAGUAUCGUAAACCUCUUUUGUCAGGGAACAAAGACUGGGACGCGUCCCCGGAUGAGUGUACCUGAAGAAAAAGCAUCGGCUAACUCCGUGCCAGCAGCCGCGGUAAUACGGAGGAUGCGAGCGUUAUCCGGAUUUAUUGGGUUUAAAGGGUGCGCAGGCGGAAUGUCAAGUCAGCGGUAAAAUUUCGGGGCUCAACCCCGUCGUGCCGUUGAAACUGGUGUUCUUGAGUGAGCGAGAAGUAUGCGGAAUGCGUGGUGUAGCGGUGAAAUGCAUAGAUAUCACGCAGACCUCCGAUUGCGAAGGCAGCAUACCGGCGCUCAACUGACGCUCAUGCACGAAAGCGUGGGUAUCGAACAGGAUUAGAUACCCGCGUAAU
rnacentral:rRNA from 1 species